UGGGGAAUAUUGGACAAUGGGCGAAAGCCUGAUCCAGCCAUGCCGCGUGUGUGAAGAAGGUCUUCGGAUUGUAAAGCACUUUAAGUUGGGAGGAAGGGCAGUAAGCGAAUACCUUGCUGUUUUGACGUUACCGACAGAAUAAGCACCGGCUAACUCUGUGCCAGCAGCCGCGGUAAUACAGAGGGUGCGAGCGUUAAUCGGAUUUACUGGGCGUAAAGCGUGCGUAGGCGGCUAAUUGAGUCGGAUGUGAAAUCCCCGAGCUUAACUUGGGAAUUGCAUUCGAUACUGGUUAGCUAGAGUGUGGGAGAGGAUGGUAGAAUUCCAGGUGUAGCGGAGAAAUGCGUAGAGAUCUGGAGGAAUACCGAUGGCGAAGGUAGCCAUCUGGCCUAACACUGACGCUGAGGUACGAAAGCAUGGGGAGCAAACAGG
rnacentral:rRNA from 1 species